CUGCAGGGACACAACGAGCAGCAAUGCUAUAAGCAGGAUUGCUGUGUAAGGUUUGAACCAGCUCAGGGGAGAUGUCUGAGCAGGCUGAGAGAAACCUGGGUGAACGUGGGAUUCUGGGGGCAGACAGCGACUAGUCUGUUUCCUGCCAUAAGUUAUGCCAGCCCAAAACCUGCUGUAACUCGUCCCCAGUGAUCACUCAGAUAGUCAAGAACAUCCAAAGUGCAAAGGUUCCCCAGUCUUGAGGUUGUCUGGACAGCGUUGGUGUAGAACUGCUGCACUGCCUAGGAAUUGUCUUCAUGAGCAGACCCAGCAACUGAAUCCUGAGCUCCUGAGUCCCAAUCCAGUGCUUUGACCACAAGACUAUUCUUCUUAUCAGAUGUCGUGUAGAGCUGAGGAAAGUGAGACCAUGGACGAGCCUGUUGUGUCGGAUUCCUGUUUAAUGAUUGUGGGGUCCAGGGUUGUAUCUCUGGCCCUAUUUGGUGGCAUUCAUCACAUCCUGGUGUCUUUGUGUUGUCACUAUGAGCAAUAGCUACUCACCAGAGCUCAUGCUGCUUCUUUCCUGACUUGGUAAGCCUCUAUGGUGCUGGGUUUUGUGUGCACAUUGUAUGAACCACUGUCAGCUAUAUCCCUGAUGGUUUUGGACUCAGGGAGAUCAUCCACUGAAGUA